rnacentral:rRNA from 1 species
AGGGCGCACGGUGGAUGCCUUGGCACUAGGAGCCGAUGAAGGACGGGACUAACACCGAUAUGCUUUGGGGAGCUGUAAGUAAGCUAUGAUCCAGAGAUUUCCGAAUGGGGGAACCCAAUAUCUUUUAUAGGAUAUUACUUUUCAGUGAAUACAUAGCUGAUUAGAGGUAGACGCAGAGAACUGAAACAUCUUAGUACCUGCAGGAAGAGAAAGAAAAUUCGAUUCCCUGAGUAGCGGCGAGCGAAACGGGAAGAGCCCAAACCAACAAGCUUGCUUGUUGGGGUUGUAGGACUCCAAUAUGGUAGUCUGUUAGUAUAGUUGAAGGAUUUGGAAAAUUCCGCUAAAGAGGGUGAAAGCCCCGUAGACGAAAUGCUGACAACACCUAGGAGGAUCCUGAGUACGGCGGAACACGAGAAAUUCCGUCGGAAUCCGCGGGGACCAUCCCGCAAGGCUAAAUACUCCCUAGUGACCGAUAGUGAACCAGUACCGUGAGGGAAAGGUGAAAAGCACCCCGGAAGGGGAGUGAAAUAGAUCCUGAAACCGUGUGCCUACAACAAGUCAAAGCUCGUUAAUGAGUGAUGGCGUGCCUUUUGUAGAAUGAACCGGCGAGUUACGAUUGCAUGCGAGGUUAAGUCGAAGAGACGGAGCCGCAGCGAAAGCGAGUCUGAAUAGGGCGAAUGAGUAUGUAGUCGUAGACCCGAAACCAUGUGAUCUACCCAUGUCCAGGUUGAAGGUGCGGUAAAACGCACUGGAGGACCGAACCCACGUACGUUGAAAAGUGCGGGGAUGAGGUGUGGGUAGCGGAGAAAUUCCAAACGAACUUGGAGAUAGCUGGUUCUCUCCGAAAUAGCUUUAGGGCUAGCCUCGGAAUUGAGAAUGAUGGAGGUAGAGCACUGUUUGGACUAGGGGCCCAUCUCGGGUUACCGAAUUCAGAUAAACUCCGAAUGCCAUUCAUUUAUAUCCGGGAGUCAGACUGCGAGUGAUAAGAUCCGUAGUCGAAAGGGAAACAGCCCAGACCACCAGCUAAGGUCCCAAAAUAUAUGUUAAGUGGAAAAGGAUGUGGGGUUGCACAGACAACUAGGAUGUUGGCUUAGAAGCAGCCACCAUUUAAAGAGUGCGUAAUAGCUCACUAGUCGAGUGACCCUGCGCCGAAAAUGUACCGGGGCUAAACAUAUUACCGAAGCUGUGGACUACACCAUUAGGUGUAGUGGUAGGAGAGCGUUCUAAGGGCGUUGAAGGUCGAUCGUGAGGACGGCUGGAGCGCUUAGAAGUGAGAAUGCCGGUAUGAGUAGCGAAAGACAGGUGAGAAUCCUGUCCACCGUAUGACUAAGGUUUCCUGGGGAAGGCUCGUCCGCCCAGGGUUAGUCGGGACCUAAGCCGAGGCCGAUAGGCGUAGGCGAUGGACAACAGGUUGAUAUUCCUGUACCAGUUGUUUUUGUUUGAGCAAUGGAGGGACGCAGUAGGCUAAGGAAUGCAUGCGAUUGGAAGUGCAUGUCCAAGCAAUGAGUCUUGAGUAGAGUUAAAUGCUUUACUCUUUAAGGACAAGUUGUGACGGGGAGCGAAAUAAUAGUAGCGAAGUUCCUGAUGUCACACUGCCAAGAAAAGCUUCUAGUGAGAAAACAACUGCCCGUACCGUAAACCGACACAGGUAGUCGAGGAGAGUAUCCUAAGGUGAGCGAGCGAACUCUCGUUAAGGAACUCGGCAAAAUGACCCCGUAACUUCGGGAGAAGGGGUGCUGACUUCGGUCAGCCGCAGUGAAUAGGCCCAAGCGACUGUUUAUCAAAAACACAGGUCUCUGCAAAAUCGUAAGAUGAAGUAUAGGGGCUGACGCCUGCCCGGUGCUGGAAGGUUAAGAGGAUGGGUUAGCUUCGGCGAAGCUCAGAAUUGAAGCCCCAGUAAACGGCGGCCGUAACUAUAACGGUCCUAAGGUAGCGAAAUUCCUUGUCGGGUAAGUUCCGACCCGCACGAAAGGCGUAACGAUUUGGGCACUGUCUCAACGAGAGACUCGGUGAAAUUUUAGUACCUGUGAAGAUGCAGGUUACCCGCGACAGGACGGAAAGACCCCAUGGAGCUUUACUGUAGUUUGAUAUUGAGUGUUUGUACCACAUGUACAGGAUAGGUAGGAGCCGAUGAGACCGGAACGCUAGUUUCGGAGGAGGCGCUGGUGGGAUACUACCCUUGUGUUAUGAACCCUCUAACCCGCACCACUAAUCGUGGUGGGAGACAGUGUCAGAUGGGCAGUUUGACUGGGGCGGUCGCCUCCUAAAAGGUAACGGAGGCGCCCAAAGGUUCCCUCAGAAUGGUUGGAAAUCAUUCGAAGAGUGUAAAGGCAGAAGGGAGCUUGACUGCGAGACCUACAAGUCGAGCAGGGACGAAAGUCGGGCUUAGUGAUCCGGUGGUUCCGCAUGGAAGGGCCAUCGCUCAACGGAUAAAAGCUA